rnacentral:rRNA from 1 species
CACGUAGGGCGCGAGCGUUGUCCGGAAUUAUUGGGCGUAAAGAGCUCGUAGGCGGCCUGUUGCGUCCGCUGUGAAAGCCCGGGGCUUAACCCCGGGUCUGCAGUGGAUACGGGCAGGCUAGAGGUAGGUAGGGGAGAAUGGAAUUCCCGGUGUAACGGUGAAAUGCGUAGAUAUCGGGAGGAACACCUGUGGCGAAAGCGGCGCACUGGACCAUAACUGACGCUGAUGCGCGAAAGCUAGGGGAGCAAACAGG